rnacentral:rRNA from 1 species
UACGAAGGGGGCUAGCGUUGUUCGGAUUGACUGGGCGUAAAGCGCACGUAGGCGGCUUUGUAAGUUAGAGGUGAAAGCCUGGAGCUCAACUCCAGAAUUGCCUUUAAGACUGCAUCGCUUGAAUCCAGGAGAGGCGAGUGGAAUUCCGAGUGUAGAGGUGAAAUGCGUAGAUAUUCGGAAGAACACCAGUGGCGAAGGCGGGUCACUGGACUGGUAUUGACGCUGAGGUGCGAAAGCGUGGGGAGCAAACAGG